rnacentral:rRNA from 1 species
GAUGAACGCUAGCUACAGGCUUAACACAUGCAAGUCGAGGGGCAUCAGGAUGUAGCAAUACAUUGCUGGCGACCGGCGCACGGGUGAGUAACACGUAUCCAACCUGCCUUUUACUCGGGGAUAGGCUUUCGAAAGAAAGAUUAAUACCCGAUGGUAUAAUAUUUCCGCAUGGGAUUAUUAUUAAAGAAUUUCGGUAAAAGAUGGGGAUGCGUUCCAUUAGGCAGUUGGCGGGGUAACGGCCCACCAAACCUUCGAUGGAUAGGGGUUCUGAGAGGAAGGUCCCCCACAUUGGAACUGAGACACGGUCCAAACUCCUACGGGAGGCAGCAGUGAGGAAUAUUGGUCAAUGGGCGAAAGCCUGAACCAGCCAAGUAGCGUGAAGGAUGACUGCCCUAUGGGUUGUAAACUUCUUUUAUAGGGGAAUAAAAUGAGCCACGUGUGGCUUUUUGUAUGUACCCUAUGAAUAAGGAUCGGCUAACUCCGUGCCAGCAGCCGCGGUAAUACGGAGGAUCCGAGCGUUAUCCGGAUUUAUUGGGUUUAAAGGGAGCGUAGGUGGACAUGUAAGUCAGUUGUGAAAGUUUGCGGCUCAACCGUAAAAUUGCAGUUGAUACUGUGUGUCUUGAGUACAGUAGAGGUGGGCGGAAUUCGUGGUGUAGCGGUGAAAUGCUUAGAUAUCACGAAGAACUCCGAUUGCGAAGGCAGCUCACUGGACUGUUACUGACACUGAGGCUCGAAAGUGUGGGUAUCAAACAGG